rnacentral:lncRNA from 1 species
AUGGAUCGGAGCUUAAGAAACUCCUCAAGUUUGAAGCCACAGGAUUGCAAACCCUAUAACUAGAAUAGGCACUAACUGCUCAAGAAACAUCAGCUAUCGAACCAUUACAUUCAGCUACUUAGCCUUCUUAGCCUUAUUAAUUCUCACUUUAGAAAUCCUCAACUAAAAGGGAAGACACCUUUGAACUUGCUGCUUUCAAAGAUAAAGGCAAACGAGUUGUCGAAGAGGUAGAAAUCAUCCCUGAGCCAUUUACUUCAUAGCUUGGAGGAAGCGAAAUCACAAAAGAAAUAGGAGAAGCCCCGGGAGGUAAGUGUCAAUGAUGACCGGGUAUUUUAAAAUUUUGAACCUACUUUUGACUUUGAAAAAGAUCCAAAUUUCAAGUUUGAUUUCUUUAUUUCACAGGAACAUGAAUUUGCAAAAGUUCACUUCUAUGAUCGAGGCAUUAUUCCUUAUCGUUAUGUUGAUUUUGACUUUUUAGAAAAUCCAUAAUUUUUCUCUCUGAGUUUUUUGAAGCACUUAGACUCAAAUUCCAUUGCUUCAUGAAAGAGGAGGUUCAUGUUAACCUUGUGGCAAUGUUCUACUCAAAUAUGCAUUUUGCAAAUCGACACUCUUUUGUCUUCACUAUUUGUGGACAAAACCAUGUUGUGAAUCUUGAUGAAUUGGCUGAAAUCAUCCAAAUCGAGUAUUAUAUUUUCAAACUCAUUCCUGUAAAGCUUGAUAGGGCCUACAACUUUGUUUUAGAAAUGCCUAACUUUGCUCGCAGUUUUAGGAAAAUUAUACUGCUGAGUCUUCUCCAUUUCAAAAUGAACUUCAUUCAAAAGAUGCUCACCCUCUGUCUUUGUUAGAAAACAUUUUCUACAAACGAUGUCUCUCGAUAUGAAGUAAGAGUGAUUUGGGCUAUCCUGAACAAGUCUGAAGAGUUUUCCUUCCCCCACAUGAUCUUUAUCCACAUGUGUCACAUGGCUAAGAGAAAGACAGAGAAGUUACCCUACGGUGCUUUGGUCACACGUAUUUUCAAGUAUCUCAAGAUUGACUACUUUGGAGUUUCACCUAUUGUCAUGCAAAAUGUGGAAAUUGGGAAGAAAACCUUGGACAAGAUGAUGUUUAGGAUGAUGUCAGAUCAUCCCCAUUGGUCACGGCAACCAUGAUAGAACAGUGGCAAAGCUCAAAAAAGGACUUGCUGAGCUCAAACAUGCGAAGGCACUGGCACCAUCCAUGACCCCUCAUCCACUCGACCAAAAAGAUCACCUUCACUAGCUGUGACCGUACUUGCCUCUCCUGCCAGCCUUAACCAACUACAAGAGGAUGUUAAGGAAUCAAGACCACUCUCCUGUUUUUGACUCGACACAUAGUGAAGAUUGAGCCUACUCUCCUUAGCCUAGAUUGUUACAACCUUGUACGACUUGAAUCGGAGGCUGCCGAACUUGAACAACCCACUUCCUCUUAGCAGCACCCUUGCUCCUAAACACUUUCAAAACUUAAUGGGCUCAUGUUUUGCUCAUGUUGUUAAUGUACUCAUGUUUUAUUAAGUCUAGUUCAUUGCUUAGGACAACUUGUUGUAUUGCCCUAUCUCCUGCCAUUAAUGAAGCUAAUCUUUUGAUUCAUACAACUGUUUCUCAUUUUGUUUGAUUGAUGAUAAAAAGGGGAAGAGUUACUUGAUGUGAAAAAAUUACGCUUAACAUUUGCUCUUAAACAUCUGCCAUUUAUAAUGUUUAACAUUCCUUGAAAUUUAUGAAUGUGCUCACAACAUUUGAUAUUGAUAAUUUGCUAAUUAUUUCUCUCAUGAUGUUUUGCUUAGAACCAACUGACGUGUGAAAUUAAACCGCUCACCAAAACAGGGAGAGCAUACGAGCGCAUCAUCAAGACAGGAGGAGCAACCAACUAUUAUCUCAUGAUCCCAAAUUAGAUUAUGACACACUAUGGGUAGAAGAUCUUUUGUGUAAUCAUGUCCUAUCUUUUGUGUAAUCAUGUCCUAUCUUACCAAAGAUUAUCUAAGCGUAUAUCUCUAAAGCGUUGUAGCAAAACAUCUUAAGGAGAUUCUAUUUUUAAAUUACGCAAAUGAUUUCAAACAAUCCUUACUAUUUUUCACAUUUGCGAGAUCAUUUUGUUAUCAUAAAAAAUGGUGAGAUUGUUGGAAAAAACAUCUUCAA